GACGAACGCUGGCGGCGUGCCUAAUACAUGCAAGUAGAACGCUGAAGGAGGAGCUUGCUCUUCUGGAUGAGUUGCGAACGGGUGAGUAACGCGUAGGUAACCUGCCUGGUAGCGGGGGAUAACUAUUGGAAACGAUAGCUAAUACCGCAUAGCAGUAGAUGUUGCAUGACAUUUACUUAAAAGGUGCAAUUGCAUCACUACCAGAUGGACCUGCGUUGUAUUAGCUAGUUGGUGGGGUAACGGCUCACCAAGGCGACGAUACAUAGCCGACCUGAGAGGGUGAUCGGCCACACUGGGACUGAGACACGGCCCAGACUCCUACGGGAGGCAGCAGUAGGGAAUCUUCGGCAAUAGACGGAAGUCUGACCGAGCAACGCCGCGUGAGUGAAGAAGGUUUUCGGAUCGUAAAGCUCUGUUGUAAGAGAAGAACGAGUGUGAGAGUGGAAAGUUCACACUGUGACGGUAUCUUACCAGAAAGGGACGGCUAACUACGUG
rnacentral:rRNA from 1 species